rnacentral:rRNA from 1 species
GAUGAACGCUGGCGGCGUGCCUAAUACAUGCAAGUCGAGCGAACAGACGAGGAGCUGGCUCGUCUGGCGUUGGCGGGGGAGGGGAGAGUAACACGUGGAUGACCUACCUAUAAGACUGGGGUAAUAUCGGGAAACCGGAGCUAAGAACGGAUAAUAUAUUGAAUCGGAUUGUUCACGAGUGAGAGACGGUAUUGGUGUCACUAAUAGAUUGAUACGGGCAGCAUUAGCUAGUUGGCACGGUAGCGGCUUAGCAAGGCUACGAUGCGUAGACGCCCCGAGCGGGUGAUCCGCUACACUGGAUCUGAGACACAGCCCCGACUCCUACAGGAGGCAGCAGUAGGGACUCUUCCGCAAUGGAGCAGAGCCUGACGGAGCAAAGCGGCGUGAGGCCUGAUCCUCCUCGGAUCCUAAAACUAUGUUAGCCGGAGAGAACAAAUGCGCAUGUACCCGGGAUCGUAUUGACGGUACCUAAUCAGAAAGCCCCGGCUAACUACGUG